rnacentral:rRNA from 1 species
CCUACGGGAGGCAGCAGUGGGGAAUAUUGGGCAAUGGGCGCAAGCCUGACCCAGCAACGCCGCGUGAAGGAAGAAGGCUUUCGGGUUGUAAACCUCUUUUGAUAGGGAAGAGUAGAUGACGGUAUCUGUCGAAUAAGCCACGGCUAACUACGUGCCAGCAGCCGCGGUAAUACGGAGGUGGCAAGCGUUGUCCGGAUUUACUGGGUGUAAAGGGCGUGUAUGCGGGUUGAUAAGUCAGAUGUGAAAUCCUGCGGCUUAACCGGAGAACUGCAUUUGAAACUGUUGAUCUUGAGUACUGGAGAGGCAGGCGGAAUGCCUGGUGUAGCGGUGAAAUGCGUAGAUAUUAGGAAGAACACCGGUGGCGAAGGCGGUCUGCUGGACUGCAACUGACGGUGAGGCACGAAAGCGUGGGGAGCAAACAGGAUUAGAUACCCGUGUAGUC